GGCUGGGGAGGGCUGCUGAGUGAAGGUCACAAGGGCAGGAACAAGAUACCGGAUGGCGAUUUUGCAUUUUCCUUUUUAGGUAAGACAUAUCCAAUGCUAUGAGCUGGAUAGAAAGAAAGUUGGGGCUUCUAGGUGACCCACAAUUUAGGGGCAAGGUCUUGGGCCAGGAGCAGAAACACAGGGGCUGGCUGAGUGCGGCAGGGAGCCCUUCCUGUCCCCACUCUGGCUGCUUGCCUCUGCCUGUUGAGAUUUCACCAAACUACCACUCUGUUAAUUGACUAAAAUCUUGCAGCCCUCUCUAGAUGACCCAGGAAAAUGGAUGCUCAGAAAUCAAAAAGAAGCUUCAGACUGUAUGGAAAAAUCACUAGUGAAUUAAACCUUAUUUCUGUUUUUUUCAAUUCUGUCUGUAUCCGAAGAAAAGGCUGGUGCUGGAAUGAAUUCGUAUCUUUUUGUUGUUGCUGUUUUGACACUGACAAAAAUUCCUUUUGCAGGUGGCUACUGAGGCUUCAAAGGGGCAAUGUAUCAUGCAAAUAAUUUUUUUCAGCUAUGACGUGUACAGUUUAGUUUGAUUUAUUUUUGAUGUCAGAAACAAAAUGGAAAGUGAGUGCUUUAAAAAUGAGUGUGGCUGGCUGAAUAAAUAAAUAAUAUGCUCUUGGCCAGAACCUGC